GACGAACGCUGGCGGCGUGCUUAACACAUGCAAGUCGAACGGAAAGGCCCUGCUUUUGUGGGGUGCUCGAGUGGCGAACGGGUGAGUAACACGUGCGUAACCUGCCCUUGACAUUAGGAUCACUUAAGGAAACUGAGGCUACUACCUGCUAGUAGCUCCUGCUGCAUGGUUGGGGUUGGAAAGUUUCGGCGGAUGGGGAUGGACUCGCGGCUUAUCAGCUUGUUGGUGGGGUAGUGGCUUACCAAGGCUUUGACGGGUAGCCGGCCUGAGAGGGUGACCGGCCACAUUGGGACUGAGACACGGCCCAGACUCCUACGGGAGGCAGCAGUGGGGAAUAUUGCACAAUGGGCGGAAGCCUGAUGCAGCAACGCCGCGUGCGGGAUGACGGCCUUCGGGUUGUAAACCGCUUUCGCCUGGGACGAAGCGUAAGUGACGGUAAUUGGUGAAGAAGCACCGGCUAACUACGUG
rnacentral:rRNA from 1 species